CCUCUUGUACAACCACACUGUGAAACUCAUAUCCAUGUAAAUUCAUGCACGUCCAAUUCAACAAUUCGACCAUACAAAAUAAACAAUAAUUCAACAUUUUAUUACAUGCCAAAAGAAAUCAACAAUUCAUACAUAAAUAGACGAUACACAAAUGAAUUAAAGACCUCAAAUUUUGCGCUAGUUGGUCCUCUUCUUCAUCUUCAUCACCCACUUGGCUUCAUCAUCCAAGAGGUUAGUGUCCUGCAAUAUAAUCCUCAGCCCAUCCAUCUCUCCCGCAAGCCUCAACACCUCUCUCUCUCUCUCUCUCUCAAGCCUCACUUCUCUGUCUCUCUCUCCCUCCCUCCCUCCCUCCCUCCCUCUCUCUCUCCCGCAAGCCUCAACCUCUCUCUCUCAAGCCUC
rnacentral:lncRNA from 1 species